rnacentral:rRNA from 1 species
AAAUUUGAAAUCUGGCCCUUUCGGGGUCCGAGUUGUAAUUUGUAGAGAGUGUUUCGGGCGAGGCCGCGGUCUAAGUCCAUUGGAACAUGGUGUCAUAGAGGGUGAGAAUCCCGUAUGCGGCCGUGGACCGAGCCCAUGUGAAACCUCUUCGACGAGUCGAGUUGUUUGGGAAUGCAGCUCUAAAUGGGUGGUAAAUUUCAUCUAAAGCUAAAUACCGGCUGGAGACCGAUAGCGCACAAGUAGAGUGAUCGAAAGAUGAAAAGCACUUUGGAAAGAGAGUCAAAAAGUACGUGAAAUUGUUGAAAGGGAAGCGCUUGCAACCAGACCUGUCCGUAGGUGAUCAGCCGCUGUUCUCAGCGGUGCACUCGCUCUGCGAUCAGGCCAGCAUCGGUUUCGGCGGUCGGACAAAGGCCUUGGGAAUGUAGCUUCCCCUCGGGGGAGUCUUAUAGCCCUUGGUGCAAUGCGGCCAGCCGGGACCGAGGACCGCGCUUCGGCUAGGAUGCUGGCGUAAUGGUUGU